CUUGGCGGCCAUAGCGCGGUGGUCCCACCUGAUCCCAUGCCGAACUCAGAAGUGAAACGCCGUAGCGCCGAUGGUAGUGUGGG
rnacentral:rRNA from 1 species